rnacentral:piRNA from 1 species
UGUGUGUAAUAUGGACAUUGACAGA